rnacentral:lncRNA from 1 species
GAAAAAUUAUCAUUAAUUAUCCUAGAUUUAAACAAACGUCAAAUAAUUAAAAUUAAAUAAAAAACUUUAAAACAUCAAAUAAUUAAGGACGGAGGAAGUAUUAAACUAAACUCAUAGUCCAUCGGAAAAUCCACCAAAUCGACUGUAAUUUGGGCUGUCGAUUGGGUAGCCGAAGAUGCGGCUCACCAGUCACCAUGCUCAUCUCCACACUUGGAAAGCAUUGGGUUAACCCAGAAAGAAGUGUACAACAAAAAUAUUAACGUAAACCUGAUUGAAGAUAGUUACAGUAUAUUAUUGGUGGUCCCUUCCCUUCAAAUUGGUAUAAAAAAAUUGAGUUGCACGGAGUAAAAAG